CAACUGGCUUCUACCGGUAGGUGACAGGGCAGUGUUCCCAGCAGUGGGACAAGAGGCACUGGCACCAGGCCAUGAGCCAUGCAUUCCUAGCUCUGCAGGGCAUGCAUGCCACGCGGACUGUGACAGUGAGCUCUUCCAGGCCCCCAGUGAGCCUGAGAGGGGGUCUGGGAAGAGUCAAGAGACACCCAGACAGUGCCAUGUGGCAGUGAAGCCUCUGGUCCCAAUCUGCCAGGGUGCAAAGCCCCAGGACUGCUGGUGGGAUGUUGGCACUACCCCGUUUUCCUUUUCCAGCUACAACAGAAUGGCAGAGAGGAAAGGACCCUCCGGGAUCUUCCAGUUCAGCCAGCCCAUUUUACAGAGGUGGAGACUGAGGCCAGAGACAGGGGCCAGCAGGGUCUGGGAAAGCCACAUCAGAAGCCUGCCCAGCUGGAGCGGAGGAAUGGGAGAGUGGCUUCUUGGAGGUCUUCAGCCUGGGAAAAGUCCGAGGCCUUCCUGUCCCCGCUCACCCUGUUCCUCCCAGGCAGGUCUGGUCCAGACAGCUGUGAGAAGUCCCCUGGAGGCAGCGUCCCAGUGGAGCUGGGAGGAAAGAGGGGCCCAGAAAAAGGAAUUUGACCUCUGAUCUGCAGCCAGUUGGUAGCAUUAUUCUGGAUUAUCCUAAAUUGAGCCUGGAACCCUGGGCUUGUGUGACAGACCAAGGGGCCCCACGGGCUCUCUCUGCUCAGGCAGCUGGAGACACAGGUAGCGCCGUAACACCCAGCGACACAGGCAUGAUUCUUUUCCAUAAAACAUUCACACCACUGCCAGCCUUGAUUCUCAAAACAGCCCUGCCAAGGAGAGGCUGUUACUGUCCCAUUUUACAGAUGAAAACAUCAAGGCUCAGGGCCGG
rnacentral:lncRNA from 10 species